rnacentral:tRNA from 1 species
AGGCCCGUAGCUCAACUGGCAGAGCAGCUGACUCUUAAUCAGCGGGUUCGGGGUUCGAGUCCCCGCGGGCCUACCA